GGUUGGUGAGCAACAUGUUGCUCGCGAGCUACUGGUUGGGGAUCACUGUAUUAGCAGAUGGAAAAGAAAAAAAGCUGCUCUGUACCGGGCUGAGGCUAUUACACACUGAUACCCUAAAUAAAAUGCAAGCAAGCCUUGUUAAGAACAUAAAUACCUUAAAGUUAAAUUAUUGAGCUCUAUGGCACUCUGGUGCAUAAAAACAAACAUAAUUACAUAGCGGGGAUUAAGGAAUAGCCUGCAUGCAUUAAUAAAACAUCAUUAGGUUGUUAUUAUUCGCCAUUAGUCUGCUGUGCCUGUUAACUGCCGUUAGAGACCUGAAAUUAACACUACAUUCAGGGUUAUAGUAGUUCCAUCAAUAGAACAGAUCGGGCAGGUGCAUUGGCACUAAGUGCAAUUAUAUGGAGAUGCAAGGGUGUUGUUAGACACGAGUACCUUUCAAUGAGUUGCAUCAGUAUAUUUAAUAUUUACUGUAAGUAUUAUCACACUGUCAGCUGCAUUAGUAGAUGAGCCUUUCUAACAUUGCCACAACUAGUGCCACAUUCAGCAGCAUAAUGACUUCGCCACAGCCCCCCCCCCCGGCAAAAAUUCUUCGUAGAGGCCCAGCUCUCUGCAACUUACCUGGCCCCCUGCCUUUCUGUCAACCCGGCCUUCCUUUGCAUUGAGUGCAUGUGCAUGUCCAACCCUGAGCAGGCAGCAGGCUCACAAAUUUUCUGUAGUUACACCACUGGAUACAUGCAGCUGUACUGGUGCUUUUAUGAAAAAGUCUUUCAAGUUGGUCUCCAGGUUAAGCAAUCGGUCUUUGAUCAGCCCUGUGACAACUCCUUCAUAAGUGGUAUAGUCCUUUGCAUUUUAAGCUGCAUGAUAUAUGCUUGCAUGAUAUUUUAUCGUGGUUAACAUGAUCUGUUGAAUUGAAAAUCUUUUGUGUUUUGGAAAACCUAAUAAAAAUGUUGAAAACAA